rnacentral:rRNA from 1 species
AGCAAGCACCGGCUAACUCCGUGCCAGCAGCCGCGGUAAUACGGAGGGUGCAAGCGUUACUCGGAAUCACUGGGCGUAAAGAGAAUGUAGGCGGGUUAAUAAGUUGGAAGUGAAAUCCUAUGGCUCAACCAUAGAACUGCUUUCAAAACUGUUGACCUAGAAUAUGGGAGAGGUAGAUGGAAUUUCUGGUGUAGGGGUAAAAUCCGUAGAGAUCAGAAGGAAUACCGAUUGCGAAGGCGAUCUACUGGAACAUUAUUGACGCUGAGAUUCGAAAGCGUGGGGAGCAAACAGGAUUAGAUACCCUGGUAGUCCACGCCCUAAACGAUGCACACUAGUUGUUGCCUUGCUCGACAAGGCAGUAAUGCAGUUAACACAUUAAGUGUGCCGCCUGGGGAGUACGGUCGCAAGAUUAAAACUCAAAGGAAUAGACGGGGACCCGCACAAGCGGUGGAGCAUGUGGUUUAAUUCGACGAUACGCGAAGAACCUUACCUGGACUUGACAUAGAAAGAAUUUAGCAGAGAUGUAAAAGUGCCAGCUUGCUGGAACUUUCAUACAGGUGCUGCACGGCUGUCGUCAGCUCGUGUCGUGAGAUGUUGGGUUAAGUCCCGCAACGAGCGCAACCCUCGUGUUUAGUUACUAACAGUUCGGCUGAGGACUCUAGACAGACUGCCUGGGUAACCAGGAGGAAGGUGAGGACGACGUCAGUCAUCAUGGCCCUUAUGUCCAGGGCUACACACGUGCUACAAUGGGGCAUACAAAGAGCAGCGAUACCGCGAGGUGGAGCAAAUCUGUUAAAAUGCCUCUCAGUUCGGAUAGCACUCUGCAACU